UUUUCUUUGUUUUGUUUUCCUUUCUUUCUUUUUCGUUUUGUUUCGUUUUGUUUUUCUCUGUUUCUUUGUUUAGUGUGGGGCAGGUGUUUCUCUGCCAGAUUUCUGGUGGUCUUCAUGUUCCAGCGCAGCCAUUUUCCACGCUGCACUUUUCUUCGCUGCACCUAUCCAGCGCAGCCUUUUCUACUCUUCGCUGCCCUACCCAGCGCUGCUACCCUCUUCUCUGCCCAAGGCCACAAACCUUUUCGCCACCUCUCACGAUGGUUUAACUUUUCAUUGCCGAUAAUCA
rnacentral:lncRNA from 1 species